CCUACGGGUGGCAGCAGUGAGGAAUAUUGGUCAAUGGACGAGAGUCUGAACCAGCCAAGUAGCGUGAAGGAUGACUGCCCUAUGGGUUGUAAACUUCUUUUGUACGAGGGUAAACGCAGAUACGCGUAUCUGUCUGAAAGUAUCGUACGAAUAAGGAUCGGCUAACUCCGUGCCAGCAGCCGCGGUAAUACGGAGGAUUCAAGCGUUAUCCGGAUUUAUUGGGUUUAAAGGGUGCGUAGGCGGUCGGAUAAGUUAGAGGUGAAAUCCCGAGGCUCAACUUCGGAAUUGCCUCUGAUACUGUUCGGCUAGAGAGUAGUUGCGGUAGGCGGAAUGUAUGGUGUAGCGGUGAAAUGCUUAGAGAUCAUACAGAACACCGAUUGCGAAGGCAGCUUACCAAGCUACUUCUGACGUUGAGGCACGAAAGCGUGGGGAGCAAACAGGAUUAGAUACCCGGGUAGUC
rnacentral:rRNA from 1 species